rnacentral:lncRNA from 1 species
CUACUUAUAAUAGUCUUACACGAUUGGAAGAAAUAAACUAUGCUAAUAAUUAGGAAACAAACAACAACCCACUAACAAUUAGGAAACAAACAACCCACUAAGCUUAACUUCAUGGCUAUAUUAAAUGGAACAAACAAACAGACUGAGUCCACACCACUAUCCUCCGUGUUGACUUUAGAAGAUAACCACAAACAUUGGAAUCAUUUGCAUGGCUUGGUUGCAUGGCUGGCUUUGUGAAUGGUGGACAAAUACACCCACAUUUCCACUCCC